CUAAGAAUCUUCCGCAAUGGGGGAAACCCUGACGGAGCGACGCCGCGUGGACGAUGAAGGCCGUAAGGUUGUAAAGUCCUUUUGCAGGCGAAGAAUAAGCUGGGGAGUGGAAUGCCCUGGUGAUGACGUUAGCCUGCGAAUAAGCCCCGGCCAAUUACGUGCCAGCAGCCGCGGUAAUACGGGGGGUGCUAGCGUUAUUCGGAAUCAUUGGGCGUAAAGGGCGCGUAGGCGGUCUUUUAAGUCAGAUGUGAAAGCCCUCGGCUUAACCGAGGAAGUGCAUUUGAUACUAAGAGACUUGAGUAUGGGAGAGGGAAGCGGAAUUCCUGGUGUAGCGGUGAAAUGCGUAGAUAUCAGGAGGAACACCGGUGGCGAAGGCGGCUUCCUGGACCAAUACAGACGCUGAGGCGCGAAGGCGUGGGGAGCAAACAGGAUUAGAUACCCUGGUAGUCCACGCAGUAAACGGUGAACACUAGGUGUAGCGGGUAUUGACCCCUGCUGUGCCGAAGCUAACGCAUUAAGUGUUCCGCCUGGGAAGUACGGCCGCAAGGUUA
rnacentral:rRNA from 1 species